rnacentral:tRNA from 1 species
GCCUGGGUGGCUCAGUCAGUUGAGCAUCUGACUUCGGUUCAGCUCAUGAUCUCACAGCUCGUGAGUUCGAGCCCCACGUCAGGCU